UCCUAGGAUAGACAGAACAAAUCAAGCGCUCCCAGGUGAAAGAUCCCCGAAGAGAGACCCUUACUCGAGUCUUGGGAAAUCGCAGACCCCAGACACAGAGAGACCA
rnacentral:pre_miRNA from 14 species